GUGGGGAAUUUUGCGCAAUGGGGGCAACCCUGACGCAGCAACGCCGCGUGCGGGAUGAAGGUCUUCGGAUUGUAAACCGCUUUCAGUAGGGAAUAAGUAUGAAGGUACCUACAGAAGAAGCACCGGCUAAAUACGUGCCAGCAGCCGCGGUAAUACGUAUGGUGCAAGCGUUAUCCGGAAUCAUUGGGCGUAAAGCGCGCGUAGGCGGCUUGUUAAGCAGGAAUUUAAAUCUUAGGGCUCAACCUUAAGUCGGUUCCUGAACUGGCAGGCUCGAGUGCGGUAGAGGAAGGUGGAAUUCCCAGUGUAGCGGUGAAAUGCGCAGAUAUUGGGAAGAACACCGAUGGCGAAGGCAGCCUUCUGGGCCGCCACUGACGCUGAGGCGCGAAAGCUAGGGGAGCGAACAGGA
rnacentral:rRNA from 1 species